rnacentral:rRNA from 1 species
UACGUAGGGUGCAAGCGUUAAUCGGAAUUACUGGGCGUAAAGCGUGCGCAGGCGUCUUGCAAGACAGAUGUGAAAUCCCCGGGCUCAACCUGGGAACUGCAUUUGUGACUGCAAGGCUGGAGUGCGGCAGAGGGGGAUGGAAUUCCGCGUGUAGCAGUGAAAUGCGUAGAUAUGCGGAGGAACACCGAUGGCGAAGGCAAUCCCCUGGGCCUGCACUGACGCUGAUGCGCGAAAGCCAGGGGAGCGAACGGG